ACGUCCCGAAUACACGUUUGAGUCGACCACUAAAGUUCAUACACAUGUUACCCCCCCCCUGACCCCCCCCAAGGAACACGGAGACUUCUGACCUUGAAUAUUUCUGUGACCCUCUCGACAGUGAUUUAUUCCGGGGGUCAAGACGCCGGCUUCGUGGAAGCAAUAAAGAUGCACAAAACAAGAAAAGACAGGCGCGACCCGCUCGCCCUCCGAGCCGCCGCUUCUGAUGGAGUCUGAAACCCAAUCUGUCAGGUGGGGGGCGAGGGACCAGGGACCACAACACACCAUCAGCAGCGCACAGAGGCAAAACAAACAAGAGGCAUUCAUCAUCGUCAGGCUGCACGGCGAAGACGCUCCGAGAGGCCGAUGUUCCAGAGAACGGAGGUUAAUGACACGCCGCCUCGCCGCCUGCCGUCGCAGGAGGAGACACCAGGUGAUGCGUGAAGGGGGGGAGGGGGCUUUAGAGAGAUGUCCCACGACGACAAGAGGUAAUUUCACACGAUAGACGUGUAUACACUGUAAAUGCGUUCAGCUUCUCGGCUGUAGUGUGUGUUCAGACAACGUUGGCUUGUCUGUGUGUCUGUGUGCGUGCGUGUUUGUGUGUGUGUGUGUGUGUGUGUGUGUGUGUCUGUGUGUGUUCCCACACUAAGAGGACAACAGUAAUUAAACGGGAUUUAAAGGGCACCCGAAGAUUCCCAUUUAGAAGUGACACCCUCUCUGUGAAACUCAUUACGGAACACUAACGGAGGCAUUAGCCAUCAGAUGGGGACAUGUGACCAGGGCAUCAAUCACCCGCCUCUCUAUUCAAAUGAUAAGCGCCGGCCUUCGGGUGACGGCGUCCUCCUGCAGCGCUCGUACAGAUCCUGAGAAGUCAGGUGGUACGUGACCGAGGUGAUAAUGAAACAGGAAGUACGAAGUGAAACGGCCCCCAAGGAGACUUCUGGGAGUCCGCUGUGGAUUCUGGUCACAUGACUCAGGUACCCAGACAAUGUUCUUUAACCUAAUCAAGUAUUUUACCAUCAUCUCAUUUCCUGAUUCAUUUAUUCACAAUCUAUUUCUUAAUUGAUUUCAAGAUAACUUCAUGAACCUUAUUUUACAGAGACACCUCAGUAAUUUCGUUGCCUACGUAACGAGCACCAAUAGACACGUGUAGGAUUAUCAGAGGAAACCAAGCAGUGACUUGCUUCAGGUCCUGAUCUUCUGUUGUACCUUCUCAGAAUAUCUAGGACUCCAUUGAGUAGAUUAAUCAUCUGGUCAAAGGGUGAAAAAAGACAAAGACAUGCCACAAUUUGACAGAUCACAGCUGAUUCCUCGGAUAGAGGAAAAGAAUGUCUUUGAUGAAGGUCAUUCAUGAAGGUCUUCCAUGAAGAUCUUCCACGCAGGUCUUCCAUGAAGGUCAUCCACAAACGUCAUCCAUGGAGGUCAUCCUUGCAGGUCUUCCAUGGAGGUCUUCCAUGC
ensembl:lncRNA